UACGUAGGGUGCAAGCGUUAAUCGGAAUUACUGGGCGUAAAGCGUGCGCAGGCGGUUUUGUAAGACUGUCGUGAAAUCCCCGGGCUCAACCUGGGAAUGGCGAUGGUGACUGCAAGGCUAGAGUUUGGCAGAGGGGGGUAGAAUUCCGACGUGUAGCAGUGAAAUGCGUAGAUAUGUGGAGGAACACCGAUGGCGAAGGCAGCCCCCUGGGUCAAAAACUGACGCUCAU
rnacentral:rRNA from 1 species